CUAAAGAGAAGCUUGCGGCUGAUUAGCUUGUUGGUAAGGUAAUGGCUUACCAAGGCGACGAUCAGUAUCUGGUUUGAGAGGACGAUCAGACACACUGGAACUGAGACACGGUCCAGACUCCUACGGGAGGCAGCAGUGGGGAAUUUUCCGCAAUGGGCGAAAGCCUGACGGAGCAAUACCGCGUGAGGGAUGAAUGCCUAUGGGUUGUAAACCUCUUUUUUCAGGGAGGAACAAAAUGACGUGUACCUGAAGAAUAAGCAUCGGCUAACUCCGUGCCAGCAGCCGCGGUAAGACGGAGGAUGCAAGUGUUAUCCGGAAUCACUGGGCGUAAAGCGUCUGUAGGUGGUUUAAUAAGUCAACCUGUUAAAUCUUGAGGCUCAACCUCGAAACCGCAGUCGAAACUAUUAUACUAGAGUAUAGUAUGGGUAAAGGGAAUUUUCAGUGGAGCGGUGAAAUGCGUAGAGAUUGGAAAGAACACCGAUGGCGAAAGCACUUUACUG
rnacentral:rRNA from 1 species